rnacentral:tRNA from 1 species
GCAUUGGUGGUUAAGCGGUAGAAUUCUUGCCUUCCAUGUAGGAGAUCUGGGUUCAAUUCUUCGGUGAUGCA